rnacentral:rRNA from 1 species
GACGUAGGGCGCGAGCGUUGUCCGGAUUUAUUGGGCGUAAAGAGCUCGUAGGCGGUUUGUUGCGUCGGCUGUGAAAACCUGAGGCUCAACCUCAGGCCUGCAGUCGAUACGAGCAGACUAGAGUGUUGCAGGGGAGACUGGAAUUCCUGGUGUAGCGGUGAAAUGCGCAGAUAUCAGGAGGAACACCGGUGGCGAAGGCGGGUCUCUGGGCAACAACUGACGCUGAGGAGCGAAAGCGUGGGGAGCAAACAGG